rnacentral:misc_RNA from 1 species
UGUUCAAGUGGUGGGUACUUCUCUAUUAAAACAUCAACCCUUCUGUAAAUGUCUCUGGUAGGCCCUCCUCAGUACUGUUUAUAAACUAUGAAUUUGUAACUAUAUGCAUGUAGCUUCAUCCGAGUUCAUUUUCUUCCUAGAUAUGAAGGUAAUUUUCCCAAGUGGCCAAGAGUUUAGUGUCCAAAUCCUUCUUAACCAAGAACAAUUCAGUGGG